AAAGUUGUUCUGAGGCUUAAGUGCAAUAGCUCCUGCAAAGCGUUGACAUACAGCAAGUGCUCUACACACAGGCGGGGCUGUUUUAAGUACACGUGUAUCCACACACAGGGUCUCAGAGACACAGUCCGUUGUUAGUUUAGACACUGGCAAUAAAACGUUUUUCUUUUCGUCUAGGCUGCACGCUUAUUUGUUUUCCUCGAACAGUAAAAUAAUGCCGAUCGACUGACAAGUCAUCUAUGGACCCUCGGGCCCACAGUCCCCACAGUUCCUCCACGUCCGCGGCUGAGCAAAGAAGCUGCACGCACGCGCAAGAAAGGAGGUCGGAGGAGAGACUGAGGAAGCAAAGUGCGAGCGGCGAACAGCGACGAUUCUGCGCAUGUACAAGGCGCGGAGGUUGGGGUAGGAGUUUGCGCAUGAGCAGAAGUGUCGGGAAAGCUAGAGAAGGGUUAGGAGGUGGUAUUGACAGCUGUGGAGGCAGCCCGCGUUCCCGGCAUGCCCCGGGGCGGCGGGGUUGGCUCUAACGAAUUUGAAUGAGGAGCCUCAGCGCUUUCGGCGCCAUUUUCGAGUGAUGCCUGAUCUCAUCAAUCUAGCGGGAGAGACGGGAUAACCUGUCCGAGAUUAUAGCGCCGCUAGGACUCCGCCGAAAAAUCACUUAAAAAAUUGCCAAAAAUUACUUCGUGCAAAGGGCAGCCCGCGGAGCUUCACCAGGGUUGGCGCAGACGGUUUUGACCUUUAGGAGAGAGCCAAUUCUGGAGAACAACCUAACUUCUCUGAUUGAACACUCACAUAAUGCAUUGGAACAUGAUAGGAGAUUAAGGUAUACUAAUGAAUUUUAAAAGCAUACUAUUUCAUAUCUUUGCAGUAUAAUUGGACUAGACCAUUAGUAAAGCUAGAACUUUUAGGUGAGCUAAAACCAAUAAAGAUUUAUUAAUAGACAGAAAUCUGUGAAGUGGUCAGGUAGGCUUCUCUUAUUAAAACUCCACAUUUUUUAAUAUAAUUGCUAUUCUCAUCGACUUUUAUUAGAUCCAGUCUCAACUGAAUUUAUUCAUUCUAAAAAUAAGAAUAUAUAUAGUGAUUUUUCUUUUUUUUUUUUUAAGGUUAUUAUACUGGUAUAUAAAGAAGAAUUAAAUAGUACACUUUUCAUCUCAUAAAAUGAAAGGUUUAAAUCAAAUAGAAUUUGGUGCUUGGCUGUUUGACAGGUAUAAUGAUAGGUAGAGCCUAUAAGUUUAGGUAAGAUUAAUGAGACUAUUUUAAGAGAAUUUAAAGUAUUCCAGAUACCAUCCUAACCAAAAGUGGCAUUUUGGUUGAAACUGAAAAGCCCACUUUCUUAAGCAGAAACUAGUAUCUUACUCAUAGGUACUCUGAAUAAAAUAUUUAAAUUGUUCAUAUCAAAAGUUACAGACUAUAAAAAUGUAGAAUACCAAAACUUCCAGUGACUUAAUUUUACCUCCAAAAUACUUUAUUACAGAGCCACUUUUCUAGUAUAUUUUGUUUGAUUUUUAUAGUUUUUUGAAGGCUUCAGAUACUUAGCUAAUAAAAAUUUUGAUUGUUUUGUAAACAGUGACCUGGUAUAAUGAAAAUGAACUUACUGAACAAUAUUACUAAGCAGUGGUUAAUUUUUGCAUGGUAAAAAUAUUAAUCACAUGAUAAAGUAUUAACCCUAACGUAUUUUUAAAAAAAGUAUUUGCUAAAGUGAGGUUUACUAAGAUAGAGCAUAAUAUGAAUUUUUCUUUAAAAUUUUUUUCACCUAAAAAUAUUUACUUUAUAUGCUUACGAUACAGGAGAGAUAGCAAAGAUUUGUUUUCCUAAGAAAAGUGUUAAUUUUGUCUUAUGAGUGAAGUGUAAUUGUCAUAUAACUGCUUGUAUCUUUAAAUGUUGUUAUUUUAAAGCAAAUUCUCUAAUGUGUGUUUGAACAUUGAGAUACGUAACAAAAUAUUUAAAAACUAAUAUUCAGCAUUUAUUAUAAGAUACUAGAUAAUCCAGGAAUGUGAAUCCAUUAACAGUUAAAGCUAAAUAAAAUGUUAAAAUUUAAUAGAAAUCCGUUUAAUAUAAGGGCAAAGUUCACAUAUUGAUAUCAUUAUACUGUAAGGUGUCACUAUAUACUGUUGGAGAUAAAUACAGGGUAUUGAAUGUCUUCAUAGCUUAGAUUUGAGAAUGUUAUAAAUAAGCAGCUUAGUUUAAAUAAGAUGGAAAUGAAUACAACUUUUUCCCCCUCUAACUUAACCAGUGAUUUUCAGAUUAGAAAACAUUAAGAUGAAAAGUGAAAAAUGUGGUUUCUGAAUGUCUGAAAAAUAAAAACAAAUCCAGAUUCAAUUUAUCAGUUUCAAUCCAGAUAUCUUUGCACACAGGCUGUUGUUAAAUGGAGGAAGAGUGGUAGCUUUUGAGUUGAUAUUUUAGAUAAAGACAUCAAUCCCCAGAGUUUCUAAUUUAGAGAGUUUAUGAUUUAUGAUCUUUUAAGUUGUCAAAACUUAUUAUUUGGACACAAAUAUUUAGCACCAUAAAAUCAUCUCUCUAUAACUAUAUACUGGCUUAUAAACUUCCAAAUUUUUAGCUUAGUAAAUAAUCUAACAUGUAAGAGAUUUGGUGCAAAUAUUAAUAGUUUUCUUGUAUUUGGUCAGCUCUUACAGGAUAAGAAACUUUAACCUAAUUAGUAGUGUGUGUUAUUUUAGAAGACAGGUUAAUAAAGGCUUUUACUGCUAUGUGUGAUUGGCUAUCCUUUAACUACCCCUUAAAGGACAUUUUCUACGGAUUUUAGGUGUUUUAAAUUUGCAAACCUGAUUAUCUAUAUCUAAGCCUUGGUAAGUACUUUAUCAUACCAGGAUUUGGGGAAAAAGACUUACUGUGGUUUUUUUUCUCUGAUACACUUCUUAUUUGGGCAGUGUUUAUAUUCUGGGUUAAAUGCAUUUUCCGGGUGAAAAAAUAUUCAUUUUCAGGAAAAAUUCUUAAUUGUUUCUAAAAUACAGUUAUACUGUCAGUGUUCAAAUUUUUUUGAAAUAGUUAUCCUUAGCAGGGAAAGAGUAUUAGGAUAAACUAGAAUAGAGAAAAUUUAACAUGUCCACUCAGGUACUUGAAAUUCUUCAUUGUCAUUGGUAAAUAAUUCUAGUUUAUAAGGACAACGUAUUUUAAGCAGUUUCUCAGCUGUAACAACUUUCUUUAUUGUGGUUUUGUAAUGUUGCUGUGGAUUCAUUAAAGAAUAGUCAAUUAAAAAAAAUUUUUAAUGUUUAUUUGAGGCAGUUUUGUAUGUGUGUAUUUUGUGGUGUUUCUUGACCAACCAAUAAGAUAUAUUCUUAGUCUAUUUUUUCUUUUCAGAAUUAUAAUUUCUGAUAACCAUUUUCAAAACAAUAUUUAAGUAAUGAGAAGAUUUAAAUUUUUCAUUAAAUAUCAUUUUGAAGUAAAAUUUCAGUUCUUAGCACGACAAAACACAGUUUUGGUAUUUUAUUAACAUGUAUGAUUUGGCUUAGUUUUACUUUCCUGUUUCAUGAUUAGAGUCACUUGGAAGAGAAACAUGUAGUGUAUUUCAGAUGUAGUUCCCGAGACUGAUUAAUCCAUUGGUUAAUAGUUCAUUAAUUUGUUUUUUGUGUCUUAAUUUUUAAAUAUCCUUUUUUGAUAUUUGCUGUUAGUUUUUUCCAUUGUUUGCCUUUCAUAAUAAAUGUAUUAUAGUAUUUUUGUUACCCUGUGAUCCUCAGAAUUACUUCUUUUAUUUUUAUUAGCAUUAUUUGUUACUGAACUGCUGCUAAACAGAACAGUUGUUUUUCAAUUUUGAUAAAAAUAAAAGAUUGGGUUUUUUCCCUUUUUUUUCCCACAAAAUGUUUUUAUCUGAAUUUUAGGUACUUCUGUUUUAUACUUUUAUUUUUAAUAAAUCCCAAAUCUAGCCUUCUUGACUAGAUAUUAUUUAAAUUCAGCCAGUUCUAGCAUUUAAAGAAAUAAUUUAUAGAUGUCCUAAUUUUCCUGAGUUUUUAAAUAUUUUUCAGAAUCAAAAAUUGCUUAAGGCAUUAAAAGAUAAGGAUUACAUUUAAAAUUGAAGUAUGAAUUUAAUGCUAUUGAAUAUAAAUAGGAUCACAUUUAAAUUUAAAGAUAAUUUGACAGAAUACUUCUAUUUGUUACUCAUCAUUUGAUAUUAUGUACUAAGUUUUUAGCUUCAUAUUACACAUUUAAAGUAGAUAAAUUACAUGUGGAAAUUUUUUUAAUAGUUGGAGUUUUUUUUGUAAAAGAAAAAAAAGUUUAUGGGCUAAAUCUUCUUUGUUAAUAGGGUCUGAUUGCAAACAUAUGGUGAUGAUUAGAUAUGUGGAACUUGGGAGUCUGGAGCUUUUUGUAAGCAAAAUGUAAUUUCAUUUCUUGAUUAAAUUUUAGAUACUUUCUUAUUUUCCAGGAGAAUGGAUAGGAAAGAUAAUAUGAAUUUAUGAAUUCAUGGCAAAUCUGGCUAAAACUUUUCUGAGAAUUUUGAUAAUUGAGCAGUUAAAUCUAAACUAGGAGCUGAAGAUCAUUACAUGUGUCAUUAAUUUUUUUCCUUAGAUACAUUAUAGGUUCACUUUCUAAUAAAAACACUAAUUUUGUCUUCUACUCUUCCCAUCCUACUUUUUAAGAAAAAAAAAAAUUCUUAAAUAAUUGUAUCAUAUAGUGAUGUAAGCAGACCUGCUAGGUAGGUUGGGCCUGAACCAUUUUUGUCUUCUGUGUCAGUUGCAUAUGCUUUUCUUAGCUUGCUGCUUCAGCAGCAGCAGCAGCAACAAUGAAUAAACAAGUAUCACCACAGCCCUUGUUCUUGUCCCUUACAGCUGGGAGCAGGGGCUGGGAGAUUGCUGCUGCUUGUCAGCUGUUGUACAGAAUGGCAUCAAUAUGCAAUAAUGGUGGCCAAAGGAGCCUACACCCACCAGCUUUUACAGACCAGGAAAAAAUCAAAAGUACUAUAAAUGUUAAGCAACAGGAGAAUGGCAAAUUGUGUCAUAGUCAUAUGAUGAACUGUUUAUUAUACUGCUGUUUAAGUGAGAGCUCUGUGAUCAUGGAUGAAUGUCUUCGGCGAACAAAAACAAGUUGCAAAAGGUUUAAUAAAGAUAAAAUGAAGACCAUAAUAAAAUAGUCCCCUACUUAGCCCAGCAAUUCUUACCUUUCUUACCUACUGGAUGGAAGAUGUCUUUAGAAAGGCAUACCGCAAGGAAUGAACUGCUGUCUGUAAAUUUUGCUUUUACCAAGGUAAAGACCAAGUUUUAUGAAUUCACUUUGUGUUUAUAAAAGGAAAAAAAACUUUUAUAUAUUUAAUACAUUCAAAAAUUUGCUUAAAUAUUUAACUUUAUUGGCUUAUUAAGUUGACAAAGGGGGAGGAAAUGCUUAGCUUUUCCUCAUAUUACACAUCUUUGUGUUCCUAACCUAUAGCAAUAUGCUUAGCACGUAGUAGGCUUUCCUUAAACAUUUGAUGUAGAAAUAAAUUUUACUAUUCUACUUAAAAGCUUCUAAGAAAUAGCUAUUUAUGUAUACUUUGUCCGUUAUAAUCUUUAAAUAUUGGUUUCUUAAUGUAUUCUCUUCUAAAAGAAAAAAAUUUUUUGUAUCUUCAGGUGCUAAUGUGUGUUUAAAAAACAAAACCUUGGAGUAAAGUAGCAGCACAUAAUGGUUUGUGGAUUUUGAAAAGGUGCAGGCCAUAUUGUGCUGCCUCAAAAAUACAAGGAUCUGAUCUUCUGAAAAAAAGAUAUUUCUUUUUAUUCAUAGCUCUUAUGAUAGUGAUGUCAGCAGUGCCUUAGCAGCACGUAAAUAUUGGCGUUAAGAUUCUAAAAUUAUCUCCAGUAUUAACUGUGCUGCUGAAGUAAGGCUGGCCAUGUUCUACAGUCUAAUAUGUUUUAUAUUUUAAUAUGUCUUAAUAUGUAUUAACAUCAUUGAUAUAUCUUCAGUUUUAUUGAUAAUGUAUUUUCAAUAUUAUUGAGAAUCUUGUUAUCUUUAGUAUGAUUCUAUAAAAAUAAGUAGUAACUUUUAAGAUGUAUUUGUAUUAACAUGGUUGUGGGGUGCCUGGCUGGCUCAGUUGGUAGAGUGUGUGACGCUUGCUCUCGGAAUUGUAAGUUCAAGUACCACAUUGCGUGUAGAGAUUACUUAAAAUCUGUAAAAAAAAAAAAAUAAUAAUAUAAGUGCAAUUUAAUAAUAGUGUUGAAUGCCAUCAAGAGUUUAUUGAAAGAGCUUAUACAGAACCGAAUUUACUUUAAUGCAUAUUUAUAUUCAUUGUAGAUACUGAAAUUUUUAAAUACUCGUUUUUCCUUUGUUUCUCCAGUAAAAUGAAGUUUAAAAAUAUUUGCUUAUUUCACAGAUAAGUGUGCAUUAUAAAAUAUACAUUCUGAACAGAACUUACAAGACAAUUUUUAGUAAUGUUUCUAAAUAUUUCGUUAGAAGGGGGAAAUUUCAAAACGUGUGAAUUAAACCCCUGAAAUCCUGGGUCUCAAAAUGCUCUUAAUCAUAAACUCAAAGGUAGGAAAGACCUUACAGAUGACCAGCCUAUUUUUUGGGUGGCUCAGGAAACAAAUUCAAAUUAGGUAAUUUGCCCCACGUGACAGAUUAGAAUCUGAAUCCUAUGCCUUCUGACUUUACACUAUCAUUGUUUUAUCUUGUUUCUAUUAAAUCCUUAGCUGAAGAUUUUUGACAAGUUGAAAAUGUGACUUUGUUUGCUUUUUUAUAGUCAAUAUUUAACUUCAGAGUAAAAGUAAAAAUUAUUAUUAUAGUUACUAAUUUUAUAGAUGUAACAGUUGAAAUUUUUAAUUUAAGAUUUAAAGAAAAAUGUUUUCUUUACUUUCUGUUUCUUAUUUAUUGUUUUAUUAAGUCAUUAAACUAAAAAUUAAUGUUCAGGACAAGAUAGGUGUUUUUGUGUAGCAUAUCACACUUUUGGUCUUCUUUUCUACAAGGAAUAGUUUACCCUUUUCAAUUGCAGCCAAGCAGGAAAUCUACAAAAUAAAAGCACUUCUUAACAAAUCAUUUCCAAUUAUUAUUGUCUUUUAGAAACCCUAAAAGUAUUUCAGAUGUAAUUUAAGGAAUUGUAAUCAAGGAUCUUCUUUUUAAAGUCUAAUGUGAAGGUAAAGAAAAUAUGUAAGGCAAAGCUCUCAUUUUUAAAAACAAUUUUUCCCCAGCAAAAAUUUUUUUCCCCAAAUUAGGAAGCAGUGUACCAUAUAUACGGUAGCUAGAAUUAAAUGCCAGCUUUUACAUUAAGUACAAUUAAGCACUAUUGACUUGGUGCUUUGAAAAAUCAUUCAUCAAGCUGUUCACCUCUUUUCCUUUAUUUCAUUUCAACUAUUUUAUGAAAGACUAACAAAUAUAACUUUUGAUUCCACUGAAAGUACUCCAAGAUUUAACAUCUAGAUUCUUGGAAAUAUUUAUUAAAUGAAUUACAAAGUUUGUCCACUAUUUUCCAGAAUAACUCAGGAAUUAGAUACCUUUUUUCCUGUUUUUGUUUUUCUAAGUAUAUUAUAUUUAGUCUAAUCUGCCUUCUAAAUGAAAGAGAGAAAACCUGGAUUUUACAUUUACUAGGUGAAUUUUUAUAUCUAGGUCCUCCAGAUGUGAAGAAGGAACACUUGGGGCUAUUAUUGCUAAAUGAAAACUUUUCUUGUUUUAAUCCUGAGAAUAGAUUAAAGGAAAAUGAAAAUAUUGGUAAAGUGAGAAACUAUAGAAAAACUGUUAUAAUGAAAUUUAUCAUAACAGCAUUCAGCUUCUUUCCAGUCUCUUAAGAGGAAGUAGCCUGUCAGUACCUAAUGAAACACACACAUUUAGGUAAUUCAGCAGAACUGGAAGUUGUAUUUGUACGAGGUAAUACACUUUCAUCUUUGUGUAAUUUUGCACACAGUAAAAGCAAAUAGUAAAAUAAAAGUUGUACCUUUUAAUGUUAACCUUAAUUUGACUAUUUUUACAAAGAAAAAAUAAGUAUAUACAGGUAUGUGUUUUCAUUUUUUCCAUCAUCUUUGGGGAAAAAAUGCUCAUCUUCUUUCAUUCAGGUUUCUUUUUAAGUUGAUGGCAAAUAAUUUCAAUAUUGAGCAUCUUAAAUCUGUUACUUGGAAUAUGGAUUGAGUUUGUUUGGAGCUAACUCAGAGGACUCAGGCAAGUAUUCAGGAGGUAGCAAGAGGAAUAUUGUAAUAGUUGAAUAACUCAGUUCACAUCCUGUAUUUAAAGGCAGAUCUCUUAAGGUCACACAUAUUGAUAUGUGAUAGUAAAUAUGAAAAUUUGGCCUUAGACUUAAUUCUGUACUCAACAAUGAAGAUUUUCUUCAAUCAAUUAUAUAUCCUUUUGGUUGUUAGAGAAUUACAUGUUGUUUUUAAGCCACUAAGUGUCAUUAUGGGUAUAUGCCCAGGUUAGCUGUAUUGGAUUAGCAAGAUUAUGCUUGCAUAAACUGUGAUCUCUGUUAAUGAUUUAUCUAUUUAGAAAUUGACAUUCUAAAUCAAUUUUUUUUCCUUUUACAGGUGGAUAUUACUAUCCCUUAUUCAUCGAAAAAGUUUUAUUCUCAGUGUUGUUUCUCAUUGAGUAUUAACAAAAAGAAAAAUUAAUGUUCCAAACUUUUCAGAUAGAUUUGGUUCUAGUAAGUAUUUAGACAUACUAUUUGCAUAGCUAGAAGAAGAAAUGAGACCAUCAUCAUUUCCAGCUAAAAUUUUUUAUUUUCAUCUGUUAUCAAAGGAUUUCUUAUAAUUUCUGUCUUAUUAAUAGCUUGAGCCCCUUUAAUGCAGAAUUAACUCACACCAGAAAUGUGAGAGUAUAUAUUCUUGCCUUAUUUAUUUAUAAAUAUAUCUCACAAAUUUCUGAAUUUUUUUAAAGCUAUAUAUGAAGCUAUAUAUGAAGAAAAAAAUAAUUGACAAAAUAAAUAUUAAGUUUAAACCUCUAAUGUUAAAGUUACUGUGUGAGGUGACAAAUUAUUUGCUUUUUUUUUUUUUUUUUUUUUGUCUUUAUUUUACUGAAAUUAAAUUCAACAUUUAUAGUUUCUAUUUGGGUCUAUUUCUUGAUUACUAAUACAUUGAAUUCAUGUAAAAACUUUAUGAGUAAUAUACUGAAAUUAGCAUACUGAUGAUUACAGUUCUCCCUUAAUUCUGUGGAACUUUGAAUAAUCUGGUAUUACAUUCUUGCAAUUGAACUUUUGUGUUUUGAAGAAAUGUAAACUGCCUGGAAAAUGUUAUUGUUUGUAUUUAUCAUAUGCCAUAGGAUUAGAUUUUGUUUGAGAAAUUUUUAGCUACCUAUUUACACAAAAUGCUACUCAAUUUGAUUAACUUGUUAUUCAAAGGUAUUCUCUUUGUUUUAUAAUUUAACCACUUAAUACCAUGGAUUAUUCUAUUAAGGAAUAUCUUUAGGAAGUGAUAGAAAUUCUGAAUCACCCUAAAGUUUGCUAAUUUCCGCAUCUCAUUAUUUUAUAAUUUUGGGGAAUGCUUGUAUUAUACCAUUUCAGGAAUAUAAGUUUUUAUUAUACCACUAAAACUAUUUCUUUUUGGACUUAAUGCAUAUGAUAGUAAAUCACAGAAUUUUUUUUAAGUUUCCAUGUCCUCAAUAUUAAAAAUGCUGUUUUAGCCUGAAGCAAGCAAUGAAGAAGGGUAUUUAUUGUCCUACCGUGUAAGUCAAGAAAGUUGAAUGAGUACAUGAUUUCUUAAGAGAAUUUAUAAAUUUUAACAUGGUCAAUGCAGACUUUUAUGUUAAUUUGUUUAUAUUUUCAUGAAUGUCUUUUGUGGCAGUGUGAAAAUGCAGAUGUUUGACAGGGAGCAUUAAAAAUAGAUUUGAGGGGUGCCUGAGUGGUUCAGUCGGUUAAGCAUCUGACUUCACCUCAAGUCAUGAUCUCGCAGUUUGUGAGUUCAAGCCCCACAUCAGGCUCUGUGCUGACUGCUCAGAGCCUGGAGCCUGCUUCAGAUUCUGUGUCUCCCUCUCUCUCUGCCCCUCCCCUGCUCAUGCUCUGUCUCUCUCUGUCUCAAAAAUAAAUAAAACAUUAAAAAAUUAAAAAUAAUAAUAAAAAAAUAAAAAUAGAUUUGAAACAUUUAUAAAGAGAAGUACAAAUUUAUUCUACUCAAAUGCUGAGGAUCUGUAGAACAAAACAGAUAAAUUUCUGCCCUCAUAGAGUUUAUGAUCUUGGAAGUGAGAUGUGAGUAAUAGACUAGACAAAAAAAUUGAUAGGUACUAUAUGUGGUGUGUCAGAUGGUAGUACUUUGUAGAAAAAUAAUGCAAAGGAGGUGGAAAGGAUGGAAUAAAGGUGUUUGGAAGACAGGAGAGAGAAGUUUUUAAAUACUGUAGAGAGAAAAUGCUUGACAAAUGAUUAUUUAGACAAAGAUUUUUAAAACGAUGAGCAAAUUAUUAGGUAUCUGGGAAAAGAGCCUUUCGGGCAGGUGAAAUAACAACUACAAAGAUCUUCAGGCUGAACCACUUUUGGUGUGUACAAGAAACAGCAAGGAGAUCUGGUUGACUGCGAUUAAAUACACAAGAAGGGGACUCAUAAUUCAUGGGAUUGAAGAGUCUGUAAGGGCUAGAUCUUAUGGCUGUUUUCAGCUUUUAGCUUGUUCUACAGAUUUAAUUUUUCAUACUUCCUUCAGAGAACUUUGACAGCAGUAUGCGUCUCAGCCUAUUUGACCUUUGUAGGUAGAACAGUAUUUUUAUAAAUCUGACUCAAGGUUACAACCUCCAUCAGACACUAUUGUUUAAACAUUUUAAACAAAAUGUUUAAAUAGUUGGUUAAUAGGUACAUGUGUGAUGAUCAGAUUUUUACAAAUUGUGCUUUGAUGGCUCUGAAUUUGUUUUCCACUUGAUCAGUUUAGCUUGUCAAAGCUAACGGCUCCAGGAGACACUAAACUUACUCAUGUUUGUCAUUUACCCAAACAAAUCACCGCCAUUUGACGCCUCCAUUCUGGAAUUGAUGUCAUAAUUAAGUAUUUAAUGAUUUAUCACCUGUUCUGUAGCAUCUUAGCUGAAACGUUCUUUGCCUGGAAUUGUUUCAUUCGCUAUGGUAUAUAUCCCACUAACUUAAUCUUCCUAAAACACUGCUUUUGUUUAUAAGGUAAAAUUCAAACUUGUUAGCUUUUGCAUCAUGAUAUUGCCCCAACUCUUCUUCAAGUGAACUAGUCUUGACCCAUCCGUUUUUCUGUUUGCUUUUAUUUAUGCCAUUUCACCACCCCAGCUCUCUGGGGUGCCAGUUCUCUCCCAGCUAAUCCCUCCCUGUACGUGGUUAAAAAUGAGCCAGACCUCUUGUGUGUGGUAAAUGUUUCCAGACUUUAACCAUGUGGUAUUAUCCCUCUUUCUUGUGGUAUGAACAAUUUAUAUCUCUAGUUCUUGGCCUUUUUUUUUUCCUAACUUAACACACCUGAGGGACAUAAUACUUCAUCAUUAAUUGUGCCUCAUUUAUUAAUACAUAUUAACCUUUUAAAUGCAUUAGCCAUAUGAAUAAACAUUUAGAAUUUUAUAAACAAAAAGAAGAAAAGCAAGUGGACUAAAACACCCAGAACUUGAAAACAUCAACCUAAAUAUCAGGUCCCAAAGUUUAAAUACUAAUUUUGUGCUGACGUUGAUAUAGUUGAUUUUUUUCCUCAGUUACAUGAGAAUCUCUUCUCCCUCCCUCCUUCCUUCUGGCCCUCUUUCUCUACUUCCAUUUCCUCCUUCCCUCUCUCUUUCUAUAUCUCCUAUAUAAUUGAGUAUGAACCAUCCAUAUAUAUUUUUAGGAUUUUAGCACAUUUAAAGGAAUGAUAAGUCAUUUUAAUUUUUCAAUAUUGUAAAAGUAAUAAAUACACUCUUAAGUAAUGCAUGUGUUUAUUAUGUUGCUUACAAUAAUAAAAAUUUGUAAGAGUUUUUAAAGUGUCCAAUAUUAAAAGGCUAAUUAAAUAACAUGCUGAGUGGAAUACUGUGCAGCUACUUAAAAUAAUGUAAUGAAUAUUUGAUCAGCUAGAAAAUUGUUCAUGAUAAAUGUCAGACAGUAUGAACAGACUCCUUAGAAGAAUACAUUUGCUGAACUGUUAUGUUAAUCACUGGUUUACUACAGGCGUGAGACAAAUCUUAUUAAGAUGAGGAAGGUGGAUCUUAUUUUCAUGAUUAUAAGUAAGCUUUAUGGUUUUUGUGACUUGGGGAAAGUUUGUUUUUGAAAAGGAGAGAGAAAAAUCCUUAAAAAAUAAAAACAAAUAUUUGAAGCACCACCACAUAAUCAUAACCCUUUUGGAAAUUUUGCUGGGUUCAGGAAAUUUAGAAGUGAUAAAAAUUAACUAUCAGGGAAGAACUGAACAGGUAACUUCAAAAAUCAGAUAAUUUAAAAAUCAGCUGUAGGGGAGCAAUCUCUGUGUUCUCAAAGGAGGGUUGAAAGGAAUUCAAAAAUCACAUCUUGAAUUCAUUGUUGAGUGCUUUUGCUGUCAUUUCCCCACUCUUCAAAACUUCAAAAGGUAAGUAUAAAAGUGAUAAAUCUAUUUUAAUUUUGAAACUGUAUUAAUAAACUAUGUAAAGAAAAACAAAUCCAGUUUAUUUUAUAGUUACAGAUACUUAACAGCAAUGAAACUGACUUUCAGAUCUAAAAAUUAAGAAUUUUCCUGCUUGGGGCACCUGGCUGGCUCAGUCGGUAGAUUAUGUGACUCUUGUUCUUGGGGUCAUGAGUUCAAGUUCCACUUUGGGUGUAGAGCUUGCUUUAAAAAAAUUUGAGGAGGGGGGAGGCACCUGGAUGGCUCAGUCAGUUAAGCCUCCGACUUCAGCUCAGGUCAUAAUCUCACAGUUUGUGAGUUCGAGCCCCGCAUUGGGCUCUGUACUGACAGCUCAGAGCCUGGAGCCUGCUUCAGAUUCUGUGUCUCCCUAUCUCUCUGCCCCUCCCCUUCUCAUGCUCUGUCUCUCUCUCUCAAAAAUAAACUUUAAAAAAUACAUAAAUAAACUUUUUAAUAGAAAAAAUAAUUUUCCUUGAAAAGAUUUAAUCUCUCCUAGCAUAAAAGGAAUACAUAGGCAUAGAAACCUUUGGAAAAGGCAAAAAAUUCUAUUUAAAAAUCCUAUUUUUACUAUCCAGUAGCAACAAUUAUUAGCUUUAUAUUAUUCCCUUCUAGUUGCAUAGUUGAAUUAACAAAUUUUAUUUCUUAAUCCAAUUCAUAACUAUUCCAGGGAUCAAAAUCUAGAACAUCUCCCUCUAGAGAAGAGAGAGGGGAUAUGCUUUUGGCUAAGAAAAUUUUUUCUUUACAUUUAUCUAAAGUAUACCUUAAACUAUUGUCUUUAUAAUUUGUUGCAUAAUAUUUUACUGUAAAAAUGCUUAAAUUUUAUUAACUUUUUUUCCUCAAGAUUAGUAAAUCUGAGUUUAUGGGAAGAUGCAUCUUGUUUACCCAUUGGCUUCUUCUACCACGCCUGCAUGCCAACCCCAACGGCAUGUAUUUUGAUAGCACUACUACGUCCCCUCCAAAAGGUGAGAACUGACUCUUCCAUCUGUACCUGGAUCAUGUGGAGAAAGGACUGAGAAUGGAAGCAGAAAACAGACAUUGUCCAUGUAGAGCAGACUGCCUGACAACAGCUCACUCUAAUAAAGGGCAAUAAAUGCCACACGAGAUGAUCCUCUCAUCACAAAACUUUACAUCUGACUUAUAUGCCUGGUCUGAUAACUUCUAUCUUUUUAUGACUCCUAAAUUGUGGAGAGAGCACAAGCAUGAGCCUGGGAGGGGCAGAGAGAAAGGGAGAGAGAGAAUCCCAAGCAGGCUCUGGGCUGAUGUGGGGCUCAAACUCACAAACCGUGAGAUCAUGACCUGGGCCGAAAUCAAGAAUUGGAUGCUUAAACCAACUGAG